UACACACUUUUACAUUCCUACACACUAUCUCAUAUAUAGACAAAGCACGUGGUUGAAGAUACUUUCAACCACUCUCUUCUUUUAGAUGGCUUAUUUACUUGGAGGGAGAUUAACUCUCUCUUCCCAACUAAAGCUAGCAGUUGUGGCCUCUUUUACACCGAGCAUUCGUCUUGGUGUUGUAUAUUACCAUUAAUACAACUUUGACGUUAAUAUUUCAAUGUGGAUAUGGUUGGAGGCAUUUAUAGAGAGGGUUUAGGCCUUUUAAGUCCUUUGGAUUUUAGGACCUCCAUCCGUCCCCUUCCUUAGCCUCGCCUGGCCUUAUACAAGUCGAUGAAGAUCAGUUGUAAACUAUACUGUGAUGCAAAAUGAGUCGUUUGGCUAUAGAAAACAAACGUUUCUGUUUGGUCUAAGUGACGAUAGAGCAUUCGAAAACAUAGGGAAAUCAAUAAUGUCAGCAAUAUCAUCGGUGUUGCUCCUUCUUGUCCUCUAUCUCCAAUCAGAGGUUCAUUCGUUGGCCACCCCUUCUGAUCAUGAUUUUAGCUACUUGAAAUUCGUACGCAAUGCCACUGAUUUUUCAUUGGAAGAUGAAUAUGACUACAUCAUAGUUGGAGGGGGCACAUCAGGGUGUCCAUUGGCAGCAACUUUAUCAGCAAACUACUCAGUGCUCGUUCUAGAAAGGGGAAAGUCUUCCUACAUCAUAUCCGAACGUCUUGACCCAAGACGGAUUUGCAUAUAAUCUCCAACAAGAAGAUGAUGGAACAACGCCGGUCCAAAGGAUCAUGUCUGAAGAUGGUAUUCCUACUGUAAGAGGCAGGCUCCUCGGUGGCACGAGCAUGAUCAACGCCGGAGUAUACGCCAGAGCUAACAUGUCAUUUUAUAAUCAAUCAGGAAUUGAAUGGGACAUGGAAUUGGUUAAUAAUACUUACGAGUGGGUUGAGGACACUAUUGUAUACAAGCCAAAUUCAUUCCCAUGGCAAUCUGUUAUACGAGAAGCAUUUUUGGAGGCUGGUGGAUACGAUCCGGACAACGGAUUCAGUCUAGAUCACAUAAAAGGAACUAGAGUCACCGGUUCAACUUUUGACAAUUAUGGAACGAGACAUGGAGCUGAUGAACUGCUUAAUAAAGGAAACCCUAACAACUUGCGAGUUGCAGUUCAUGCUACAGUAGAGAAGAUCAUCUUCUCUUCCAAUGAAUCAGGCAUGUUGCAUCUUUGAUAAUUGUAAAGUUUAUUUUAACCCAAAAUUAAACCAUUUGACUAACAUUCCAUGAUAGGAUCGAACCAAGGGGAAAGCUACAAGAGGAAAGGAAAGAAGAAAUAAACUAAUACAUUCUGAUUUUCAUUUCAUAACCUCCCCAAAUGGUAGAAGCUGCUUCAUAUACAACCCUAAAGCAAGAGUGCGUGCGAUUGUAACACAUCAUCACUCAGAGACCGUUGGAUGCAACCAACAUCAUACAAUUCAAAAGACCAUAACACCCUAAGGAUAAGCAUUGUAUUACUAAUAACCCAGAGUCCUAACAACCCUCCCCCCUAAGAAACAGCUUGUCCUCAAGCGUGGAAGUCCGAAAAGCGUUCAAUGAUGGAGUCGGCGUCCUCCCAGGUAGCAUCGUGGUCGGGCAGGCCUACCCAUUUAAUCAGCCAGCGAGUGACGACACGGUUGCCUCGUUUGAACAUGCCGCGCUGCAAUAUAGUUUCUGGAGUCCGUGCGACCAAUCCCGUAUCAGACAGGGGCGGAAGAAUGGUGGAUGGAAUCACAUGAGAGCCCAGCUUGGGUUUAAGGAGUGAGACAUGGAAGGUAGGGUGAAUGCGGGAGUUUGCGGGGAGGUCCAAUGUGUAUGCCACUUUACCGACACGAGCAAGGAUUUUGUAUGGCCCAUAGAAGCGGGGUGCCAAUUUGGGGCAGUUAGUGUGGCUGACAAAGGACUGGCGGUAAGGUUGUAGCCAUAAGAAAACCCAAUCGCCCACCUGGAACUCGCAUUCCGAACGCUUCUUGUUGGUGAAGUGACACAUUCGUUCCUGGGCAAGAUGUAGAUUCUCACGCAGCUGGCGGAGUAAGGCAUCCCGAUCACGGAGAGUAGUGUCAACCAGGUGAACUGGAGAGGAACCCGGUAGGUACGAUGGAACCCGAGGUGGGGGAUAACCAUAGACAGCUUCGAAAUGGGACAUCUUGAUGGCCGAAUGGAAGGUGGAGUUAUACCACCAUUCAGCCAUGGCAGCCAGUCAACCCAGGAUGUUGGUUUGUCACCCACAAAACUGCGAAGAUAAUGUUCGAGGGUGCGGUUUAAUACCUCAGUUUGCCCAUUGGAUUGAGGGUGGUAAGCCGAGCUGCGGCAGAGUUUAAAACCUUGCAUUUUGAAGAACGAGUCCCAAAACUGGCUGAUAAACACAGGAUCCUGAUCACUGACCACAGUAGCAGGCAUGCCGUGAAGACGAAAAAUCUCCCGGACGAAGAUGUCAGCAACUUUGGCAGCAGAAUAUGGGUGUUUAAUGGGUAUGAAAUGGCCAUACUUGGAGAGACGAUCGACCACAACCAAUAUGGCGUUACGACCAUGAGUGGAAGGAAGACCCUCUAUGAAGUCCAUUGUAAUGUCUGUCCAGAGUUGAGUGGGGAUUGGAAGUGGUUGUAACAAGCCUGCGGGUUUUAGAGUCUCAUAGUUGAUGCGCUGACAAGUGUCACAGGCAGCCACAUAAGUCUUGACUGCCUUCUUUAAGCCGGGCCAAUUGAAAUUGCGAAGAACCCGUUUAUAUGUACGAAGGUACCCGGAGUGGCCUGCAGUAGGAGAAGAGUGGAAUUCUGCCAAAAUUUGAUGACGCCAAGGAAACGACGAGGCCACGAAGAUACCCUCCUUAUAAUAUAAGAGAUCUCCUCGAAGAGAGAAGUGAACACGGGUAGGCUGAUGAUGUUGUAAGGCUUGGAGAAUCUGUGCAGCCUCAGGGUUCGUGUUGUACUCGGCUUGGAUCUCAGAGAUGGAGUCAAAAAUCGGCUGGGAGAGACCCAUGAGUGCCAACCCUUCAUGUUGCCUAGAUAAGGCAUCCGCUGCUGUAUUUGCUGCCCCCGGCCGAUACUCCAGCGUAUAAUUGUAGCCUAACAACUUUAAAAGCCAUUUCUGUUGAGUAGGGGUGGUGAUGCGUUGGUUGAGGAAGUGUUUCAACGUUUGGUGGUCUGUAAUAAUCUUGAAGGAUGUCCCAAGCAGGUAGGGACGCCAUUUCUAGACAGCGAACACAAUGGCGAGCAUUUCUUUAUCAUAAACGGACAGAGCCUUAUGUUUGUCGGAUAGUGACAUAUUGAGGAAGGCGAUAGGGUGCUGGUCCUGUGAGAGCACAGCGCCAAUGCCGGCGUCAGAAUCAUCGCACUCCACGAUAAAGGGGCGGGAUAAAUCUGGCAGAGCUAAGACAGGGGUGGAGGACAGAGCUUGCUUGAGAUCCACAAAAGCCUGAGCAGCCGCUGGAGUCCACACGAAAUUAUCCUUUUUCAGGAGAUCCGUGAGAGGGCGAGCGAGAUGGCCGAAUGACGUAUAAAUUUCCGAUAAUAACCGGCAAGGCCCAAGAACCCACGCAAGGCUUUGAGAGUACGGGGUUAAGGCCACUCCAUGAUGCAGUGCACCUUUUGAGAAUCCACAGCGACACUGGCGGCCUAGAUUAUGUGAGCAAGGUAGGCCAUCGUAGGUUGGCCAAAUGAGCAUUUAGAUUGCUUCACUUUCAGAGCAUGUGAUCUCAGAACAUCAAAGACAGAGGUUAAAUGUGAGAGAUGAGUAGGUAAGUCUGGGCUAAAGAUGAUGAUAUCAUCGAAAAAAACCAAGACAAACUUACGUAAAAAAAGCUUAAAGAUAGAGUUCAUGAGGGCUUGGAACGUGGAAGGCGCAUUACACAGGCCAAAAGGCAUGACCACAAAUUCAAAAUGCCCAUCAUGGGUGUGAAAAGCUGUCUUCGGAAUGUCCGGUUCAUACAUACGAAUUUGGUGAAAGCCCGAGCGAAGAUCUAAUUUAGAAAAGACCUUAACACCCCUGAGUUCGUCAAGAAGCUCAUCGAUGAUCGGAACCAAAAAAGGAAAUUUGACAGUUACUUGAUUGAGGCCCCUGUAAUCCACACAAAAGCGCCAAGUCAAGUCGACUUUGUGAACCAAUAGGGCGGGAGAAUAGAAGGGGCUGGAACUGGGUCGUAUGAGGCCUGCGGCAAGCAUUUCCUCUACCUGUUUUUCCAUUUCUGUUUUUUGAACAUGGGCGUAGCGGUAAGGUCGAACAUUGACUGGUGGAGUACCCGGCAGCAAUGUGAUGCGGUGAUCAAAUUCCUGAUGAAGAGGGAGGUCCGUUGGAGCAGCAAAGAGAUCUGAAUAGUUGUCCAAAAGGGUGGUGAGUGGUGGCGGUAUAGUGUGGACCACCUCGGCUGGGGAAGAAGCACGCAAAAGAGAGGCCAGAAGGGAGUCGAUGUGUGGCCUGGAGGAUGUAGACGGUGAUGGAGAAUCCGAAGAGUGGAGUCCCACCAAGCGAUAAUUAUGGCCUCCAAUUUGAAACUUCAUGACUUUGUGCUUGAAAUGCCAUCCAAUAAGACCCAAUGUUUCUAACCACUCGGCCCCGAGAAUCAAAUCACAGCCUUGUACCGCAAGCAAGCGGAUGUCAGAGGAAAAUGUAUAGUCCUACAGGUUGACUGUAAAGUUAUAAGCGAUGUCGUGGGUAUAACAUAUAUUCCCAUUAGCAACAGCCACGGGUUCCACCAGAGAGCGAUUGGUGCGCAGGCCCAGAUGCCUCGCAAUCGAGGGGCUGAGAAAAUUAAGGUUCGCACCGGAGUCGACAAAGACCCGGAUGGGCAACAUGUCACUGUACCCCACAAGGCGCAUAGCACGUCCUUGGGUACGUUUGGGUGAGACCAGGGCGUUGAAGGCAAUGGGCUCCUCCUCGGCGAGCAAGGGUUCGGCAUGAGCGAGGGGAAUGUCGUCGAGGACCUAGUCGGAGGUAACUUCAGAGACGGCUGCAGCAUCUAACAAUAAUAAGUGGGGGGUCGUAGAAGUGUGGCCAGGAAAAUACUUCUCUGGGCAAUAAAAACACUGGCCCCGAGAAUGGCGCUCACGGACUUCGGCCGGAGAGAGGCGCAGCGGUGGUCGGCCCGGUGAAGAGGGAUGUGGUUUGGGGGAAGAAUGAGCCACCGGCGAGGAAGCUGCCGAGACCGCUGGGGAAGGGCUAUGAGAGAAUGGGCGGAAAGAAGUGUGGCGCCGUUGUUGCUUGUUGUCGUAGAUACGGGCAAGUUCGAUAGCGCGGGCCAAAGAAUGAAGGCCCAGUGCGAGGACAUCAUCUUGUAAGUCCGACUUAAGCCCACUAAGGAAGACCCUCAGGAGCUGUGCAUCAGUCCAUCCUUAGGCGCGGCAAGAUAAACAGAUGAAGUCAUUCACAUAGGCCUCUAAAAAGCCUUUUUGGGCGACAUGAGAGAAGGACAUGUUAAAGUCCAAUUGAUCACCCGGCCCAAAGUGUUGGAUGAUGCAUUCGGUAAAGGUGGCCCAUAAGGUUGACCCCACAUGCAUUUUAUACCACUUGAACCAUAAAACCGCAUCACCCGUGAAAUGGAAGCCCACCACUGUGACCCGGUUGUGGGGUUUGACCCCAUGGAAGUCCAUGUACUCCUCAGCCAACGCUAACCAGCUAUAUGGGUCGUCGCCGGAGAAACGGAAGAGUUCAAUUUUCAUGAAUUUGGAGGGAG